UAUAGAAAAGGAAGGAAAACUUAACAAAAGGUAAUAUAAAAAAAAAAGAGUAAAAAAAAAAAGAAGAAAAAAAUAAAACAAGUAACAAAAUUAAUAAUCGUAACAACGCGAGAGAGAAAUUUCACGUGGAUAUCUCGUCUCGUGGAAAAAAACAUUUUAUCUAAUGAUACUCGUAAUAAAUUAAUGACGUUUUUAAAUUAUUAUAUCGAUUAACGUCCUUCGAAUAGACAGAAUCGCUUUUUUUCUGUUCUUUUUUUUUCCCUAACUUCUUCCUUUUUUAAUGCCAUCCCUUGCUCUUCGAUGUGUGGUGAAAAACGUGUUUGUAGAUUGGAACGUGGACGGGAUAUGGUUUCGCCACGGGAACCGGAAAUUUCUUCUCAACGUAAACUGGAUACGGCUUUUCCACGACGUAAGGAACCUAAAAAUGAAGAUAUAUAAUGUGCCAUUAUAGCCUUCACGCUCGUUUGGAGCUUAUGUCAACGUUAAGAAAAAAAAGAAAAAAAGAAAAAGAGCGGUACUUCAACAUGUUUGACAACUUCAACGGGAUAAGGUUGAGGAAUUUCAACUGGAACUUUAUAAGGUUGUGGUAUAGGUACUUUGAUUUCUUGAGGGAUUUCUACUGGUACAGGAUGCGGUAUUGGAAUAGCUGUAAAAGAUAUAUCAAACGAUAAGAUGGACUUCUAUUAUUUUUCUUCGUAAGUCGAAUCACCAUGAUCCUCCUCAUAAUGGCCGGCAAAGGACGAGGCGAUCAAUGACGAGAUAAGAGCCAAGAAGAUAAUCUGCAAGAAAAAAAAAAAAAAAAUUAGAAAAGAAA